rnacentral:rRNA from 1 species
UACGUAGGGUGCAAGCGUUGUCCGGAAUUAUUGGGCGUAAAGAGCUCGUAGGUGGCCUGUCGCGUCGGCUGUGAAAACUCGGGGCUCAACUCCGAGCUUGCAGUCGAUACGGGCAGGCUAGAGUUCGGCAGGGGAGACUGGAAUUCCUGGUGUAGCGGUGAAAUGCGCAGAUAUCAGGAGGAACACCGGUGGCGAAGGCGGGUCUCUGGGCCGAUACUGACACUGAGGAGCGGAAGCGUGGGGAGCGAACAGG